rnacentral:rRNA from 1 species
GGGGGGGGGGGGGGGCGGGGUUAGGGGUGGGGGGGGGGACGGGAAGGGGCGGGGUUGGGGGGGUGGUCGGGUGGCGAACGGGUGGGAGGCACGUGGGGUACAUGCCCUUGAAUGUGGGGUAACGCGAGGGAACUGGGGCUAAUACCUGAUAGGCGUUACUGGUGGAUGAGGGGGGUUGGUAUGGUUCGGCGGUUGGGGAUGGACUCGCGGCUUAUCAGGUUGUUGGUGGGGUAGUGGCUUACCAAGGCUUUGACGGGUAGCCGGCCUGAGAGGGUGACCGGCCACAUUGGGACUGAGAUACGGCCCAGACUCCUACGGGAGGCAGCAGUGGGGAAUAUUGCACAAUGGGCGGAAGCCUGAUGCAGCAACGCCGCGUGCGGGAUGACGGCCUUCGGGUUGUAAACCGCUUUCGCCUGUGACGAAGCGUGAGUGACGGUAAUGGGUAAAGAAGCACCGGCUAACUACGUG